GUUUUACUCCCUCCGUCCUGAAUUAUUUGUCGCAGGUAUGGAUGUAUCUAUAUGUAUUUUAGUUCUAGAUACAUCCAUUUUUGCAACGAGUAAUUUGGAACGGAGGGAGUAGUAU
rnacentral:pre_miRNA from 1 species